GACGAACGCUGGCGGCGUGCUUAACACAUGCAAGUCGAACGGAAAGGCCCUGCUUUUGUGGGGUGCUCGAGUGGCGAACGGGUGAGUAACACGUGAGUAACCUGCCCUUGACUUUGGGAUAACUUCAGGAAACUGGGGCUAAUACCGGAUAGGAGCUCCUGCUGCAUGGUGGGGGUUGGAAAGUUUCGGCGGUUGGGGAUGGACUCGCGGCUUAUCAGCUUGUUGGUGGGGUAGUGGCUUACCAAGGCUUUGACGGGUAGCCGGCCUGAGAGGGUGACCGGCCACAUUGGGACUGAGAUACGGCCCAGACUCCUACGGGAGGCAGCAGUGGGGAAUAUUGCACAAUGGGCGGAAGCCUGAUGCAGCAACGCCGCGUGCGGGAUGACGGCCUGCGGGGUGUAAACCGCUUUCGCCUGUGACGAAGCGUGAGUGACGGUAAUGGGUAAAGAAGCACCGGCUAACUACGUG
rnacentral:rRNA from 1 species